UUGAGGGUCCACGGCUUCCUUCUUGAAGUCAGUGAGACCAACAACCCACCAAUUCUGGACACAAUAUUACCAAAGCUUGGAUUGAAAUGUCAUAUUUAAGAAUGUGCAUUAAAUGUCUGGCUUCAAGAAUUCCCAGCCUUGGAGGAGUGAGUAAAAAUUGUUACUUCCUGGAAAGUUGAAGAAUCUUCACAUUGAUGGCCCCUGGAUUUAUCUUAUUGUUGAAGGACUUCCUCUGAUUAUUGCAAAGAGUCAAGAAAACUUAUUUUGAGCUAUUUACAGCAUUUAAUAAUCAAGUAAGUUAACUCCUGUGAACAAAAUUUGGAGCGUAUUUGUUUCUCUCUGCCUGGCUUCUGCAGAAUUUGUAAACUAUUUGUAAGUAUUCUUAACUUACGGCAAUAUGGUUAUUUGCAUCAGUGCAGAAAGAAUCCAUUUUCUUUUGCAAGAGAACACAACUGGAGAAACUGGUUGUUUUACCAAGGCUUUAAAUGGAAGCGUGUGCUUCCCUUUAAGGAAUCAAGCUUGACUUGCAGAGCCGAUAAAAACUCCUUGGGAAAACUGGCCUCAUACGUUGUCUACACUGUCCCCAUACAGGGUUCGUAACUUGUGGUGAGUAAGAAUGUCACUCUCUGGCUCCAGAGAAUCUAUAAUCUACCCCACAAGUAUUUAUAUCAGAUGUUUUUGUAUAGAUAAGGGAACAUGCACAGGGUCUUGCCUGAGCAUGCCCACAGUGGACUGGAGGCUCACAUACACUGGGGGAUUGGGGUGGAGCCACAAGAAAUUCAUGCCUUCUGCAAGAGAGGAGCCUGGCCUCUUCAGCUCAUGUGUGGUGGCCUGGUCUUUGAGGUGGGAGCCUGCUGGCGGGACUUCUCGCAUUGCUGAGAGCUCCCCUUUUGCUUAAUAAAUCCCAUCCUCCUCACCUUUCAA